rnacentral:lncRNA from 1 species
UAUAUGUAUAGUUAUUUAGACAAGAACCCAUGAAACUAGAGGAAGAGACAAAGAAAGAGAAGAAACAAAAACACAGAAGAUUUUAUUCGUGUGCUAUUCCAUUAAUACAAAAGAUUGAAGCUUUAAAGAUGGAAAUUGAGAGUACCCAGAAGACAAUACGGAAAGAAGCUUUAAGCUUUUGUCUUUGUCUGAAACCGGAAAAUGAGAUCCUCGAGGAAAAAAAACGGAUGAGCUCAAACAGAUAACUACGAAGCUUUUUUUUUUUUUUCAAAAAUGGAUACAAAAUCGAAGCUUUCAUUUUUGCUGUGAAUUUGUAGAGACUAGAGAGAGAGAGGCGAAGUGAACAAAAAGAAAGAAUAAAC